GGGGAUUUAGCUCAGCGGCACAAGUGCUUGCCUGGCAAGUGCAAGGACAUGAGUUCAAUCUCUUGUAACCCCCA
rnacentral:tRNA from 1 species